rnacentral:rRNA from 1 species
UACGUAGGGGGCUAGCGUUGUCCGGAAUCAUUGGGCGUAAAGCGCGUGUAGGCGGUCCGGUAAGUCCGCUGUGAAAGUCGGGGGCUCAACCCUCGAAUGCCGGUGGAUACUGUCGGGCUAGAGUACGGAAGAGGCGAGUGGAAUUCCUGGUGUAGCGGUGAAAUGCGCAGAUAUCAGGAGGAACACCAAUUGCGAAGGCAGCUCGCUGGGACGUUACUGACGCUGAGACGCGAAAGCGUGGGGAGCGAACAGG